rnacentral:rRNA from 1 species
CAUUGGCUCAACCAANGUAUGCUUUGGAAACUGUUAGACUUGAGUGCAGAAGGGGAGAGUGGAAUUCCAUGUGUAGCGGUGAAAUGCGUAGAUAUAUGGAGGAACACCGGUGGCGAAAGCGGCUCUCUGGUCUGUCACUGACGCUGAGGCUCGAAAGCGUGGGUAGCGANCAGGAUUAGAUACCCUGGUAGUNCACGCCGUAAACGCUGAGUGCUAGGUGUUAGGUCCUNUCCGGGACUUAGUGCCGACGCUAACGCAUUAAGCACUCCGCCUGGGGAGUACGACCGCAAGGUUGAAACUCAAAGGAAUUGACGGGGGCCCGCACAAGCGGUGGAGCAUGUGGUUUAAUUCGAAGCAACGCGAAGAACCUUACCAGGUCUUGACAUCCCGAUGCCCGCUCUAGAGAUAGAGUUUUUCUUCGGAACAUCGGAGACAGGUGGUGCAUGGUUGUCGUCAGCUCGUGUCGUGAGAUGUUGGGUUAAGUCCCGCAACGAGCGUAACCCUUAUUGUUAGUUGCCAUCAUUAAGUUGGGCACUCUAGCGAGACUGCCGGUAAUAAACCGGAGGAAGGUGGGGAUGACGUCAAAUCAUCAUGCCCCUUAUGACCUGGGCUACACACGUGCUACAAUGGUUGGUACAACGAGUCGCAAGCCGGUGACGGCAAGCUAAUCUCUGAAAGCCAAUCUCAGUUCGGAUUGUAGGCUGCAACUCGCCUACAUGAAGUCGAAAUCGCUAGUAAUCGCGGAUCAGCACGCCGCGGUGAAUACGUUCCCGGGCCUUGUACACACCGCCCGUCACACCACGAGAGUUUGUAACACCCAAAGUCGGUGAGGUAACCAUUUAUGGGGCCAGC